GACGAACGCUGGCGGCGUGCUUAACACAUGCAAGUCGAACGGAGAGGCCCUGCUUGCAGGGUACUCGAGUGGCGAACGGGUGAGUAACACGUGGGUGAUCUGCCCUGCACUUCGGGAUAAGCUUGGGAAACUGGGUCUAAUACCGGAUAGGAGCCAUCUUUAGUGUGGUGGUUGGAAAGUUUUUUCGGUGUAGGAUGAGCUCGCGGCCUAUCAGCUUGUUGGUGGGGUAAUGGCCUACCAAGGCGGCGACGGGUAGCCGGCCUGAGAGGGUGUACGGCCACAUUGGGACUGAGAUACGGCCCAGACUCCUACGGGAGGCAGCAGUGGGGAAUAUUGCACAAUGGGCGCAAGCCUGAUGCAGCGACGCCGCGUGGGGGAUGAAGGCCUUCGGGUUGUAAACUCCUUUCGCUAGGGACGAAGCUUUGUUGUGACGGUACCUAGAGAAGAAGCACCGGCUAACUACGUG
rnacentral:rRNA from 1 species